rnacentral:misc_RNA from 1 species
GAUGAAGAACGUAGCGAAAUGCGAUAAGUAAUGUGAAUUGCAGAAUUCAGUGAAUCAUCGAAUCUUUGAACGCACAUUGCGCCCGCCAGCAUUCUGGCGGGCAUGCCUGUUCGAGCGUCAUUUCAACCCUCGAGCCCCCCCGGGGGCCUCGGUGUUGGGGGACGGCACACCAGCCGCCCCCGAAAUGCAGUGGCGACCCCGCCGCAGCCUCCCCUGCGUAGUAGCACACACCUCGCACCGGAGCGCGGAGGCGGUCACGCCGUAAAACGCGCAACUUUCUUAGAGUUGACCUCGGAUCAGGUAGGAAUACCCGCUGAACUUAAGCAUAUCAAUAAGCGGAGGA